UUAAAAAAUGGUUCAAGGCAGUUUCAAGCAGAGGAGCAAGCAAAUGCCGCUGAGAAGGCAGUUAAGGAGAGGACUUGGAGUUGAGUACUCCAUUUGGCAACAUGGAACUCAUUGACAUAACGAAGAGCGAUGGCAUGGACUGGGGUGACUGGCAGGGUGGAAAAAGAAGGGGAUGAAGCUUUGCAGAAAGGCUUCAGAGGAAAUUUGACACCUUCCAAACCACAGGUGUGAAGACCUUGUGAUGAAUUGAGAGGAAACUGCUUGCGUCUUUGACAACAUCGUUGAAUUACAUGAGCAAUCUGAUUCAGCUGUUCGCCAAGUUUAUUUUUUUCAGCUUUACUGAGGUAUAAUUGACAAAGUGUACCUCCUAAUAAUUUGAUAUAAUAUACAUUGUAAGGAUUCCUCUCAUCUAGUUAUAAACACAUCCAUCACCUUACAUAUCUAUCUUUUUUUAGCGAGAGCACUUAAAUUCUACUCUCAGCAAAUUUAGAUUAUAUAAUACAGUGUUAUCUACAUAGUCUACAUGUUUAUACAUUAGCUCCUCAGACCUUAUUCAUCUUAGAGCUGAAAGUCUGUAUACUUUUACCAAUAUUUCCCUAUUUCUCCCACUCCCCAGCCCCUGGCAAUCACUUUUCUAUUUCUAUGAGUUUGGUUUUCUUAAGAGUCCACAUAUAAGUGAU